rnacentral:rRNA from 1 species
CAAAAACAUCGCCUCUUGAACAAACAUAUGAGGUCCAGCCUGCCCAGUGAUAACAUUCAACGGCCGCGGUAUACUAACCGUGCGAAGGUAGCAUAAUCACUUGUUCUUUAAAUAGGGACUUGUAUCAACGGCAUCACGAGGACUAUACUGUCUCCCCUCUCCAAUCAGUGAAACUGAUCUCCCCGUGAAGAAGCGGGAAUUAAUAUAUAAGACGAGAAGACCCCAUGGAGCUUUAAACCCAGUAUACACCCCUUUUAUCCAGCACCAAUUUAAUUUCAAAGGCCUGUACACUAGUUUUAGGCUGGGGGGGCCACGGAGUAAAAUUUAACCUCCACAACAAAUGGGCUAAUUACCCUUAUCCAUGAUUUAUAAAUCUAAGAAUCACAAAAAUGAUGUUUAAUGACCCGAUAUAUUCGAUCAAUGAACCAAGUUACCCUGGGGAUAACAGCGCAAUCUACUUCAAGAGCCCAUAUCGACAAGUGGGUUUACGACCUCGAUGUUGGAUCAGGGCAUCCCAGUGGUGCAACCGCUACUAAUGGUUCGUUUGUUCAACGAUUAAAGCCCUACGUGAUCUGA